rnacentral:rRNA from 1 species
UGACUGCGGACGAUCAUUA